GAUGAACGCUGGCGGCGUGCUUAACACAUGCAAGUCGAACGAAGCACUUUAUUUGAUUUCCUUCGGGACUGAUUAUUUUGUGACUGAGUGGCGGACGGGUGAGUAACGCGUGGGUAACCUGCCUUGUACAGGGGGAUAACAGUUGGAAACGGCUGCUAAUACCGCAUAAGCGCACAGCAUCGCAUGAUGCAGUGUGAAAAACUCCGGUGGUAUAAGAUGGACCCGCGUUGGAUUAGCUAGUUGGUGAGGUAACGGCCCACCAAGGCGACGAUCCAUAGCCGACCUGAGAGGGUGACCGGCCACAUUGGGACUGAGACACGGCCCAAACUCCUACGGGAGGCAGCAGUGGGGAAUAUUGCACAAUGGGCGAAAGCCUGAUGCAGCGACGCCGCGUGAGCGAAGAAGUAUUUCGGUAUGUAAAGCUCUAUCAGCAGGGA
rnacentral:rRNA from 1 species